rnacentral:lncRNA from 1 species
AAUUUGCCACACAGCUUUACUUAGGAUUCAAUGUGUAAUAGGUCUGGAGAAAAGUUAAGCAAAGAAGAAAAGUGGCAGCGAGUAAGGCAAUAAAAGUCCACGGAUUGAGAAAAUAAGUGUGAAUUAAUUCAGCAAUCCAUGUUUUUGCCUUGCUACUGCAGUGCUCCUCAAUUCUCAUCUUCACAUCAUCAAAUAUAUAGCAAUCAUCAAGUCCGCAAGUAUCAAUCUCUUUGAUUACUUCAACAACUUGUUCAUCACUAUCGAGGGUACUGAAGAGUAUCUUCUUUUCUCUCAAUUCCUUCACAUCUUCAGAUUUAACAAUGAGCGAUUUCAAGAAAUUAACAUAACAUAUUAUAGGUAUGCCAGUGUCGCUUUCUGG